GAAAUUACGCCUUCCAUGAAGCCGGAAUUGCUAGUAAUGGCAGGUCAGCAUACUGCUGUGAAUACGUUCCCGGGCCUUGUACACACCGCCCGUCACACCAUGAGAGUUGGGAAUACCCGAAGCCUGUGAGCUAACGUUAAGAGGCAGCAGUCGAAGGUAGAAUCAAUGAUUGGGGUGAAGUCGUAACAAGGUAUC
rnacentral:rRNA from 1 species